AGAGUUUGAUCAUGGCUCAGAUUGAACGCUGGCGGCAGGCCUAACACAUGCAAGUCGAGCGGUAGCACAGAGAGCUUGCUCUCGGGUGACGAGCGGCGGACGGGUGAGUAAUGUCUGGGAAACUGCCUGAUGGAGGGGGAUAACUACUGGAAACGGUAGCUAAUACCGCAUAACGUCGCAAGACCAAAGUGGGGGACCUUCGGGCCUCAUGCCAUCAGAUGUGCCCAGAUGGGAUUAGCUAGUAGGUGGGGUAACGGCUCACCUAGGCGACGAUCCCUAGCUGGUCUGAGAGGAUGACCAGCCACACUGGAACUGAGACACGGUCCAGACUCCUACGGGAGGCAGCAGUGGGGAAUAUUGCACAAUGGGCGCAAGCCUGAUGCAGCCAUGCCGCGUGUGUGAAGAAGGCCUUCGGGUUGUAAAGCACUUUCAGCGGGGAGGAAGGCGAUAAGGUUAAUAACCUUGUCGAUUGACGUUACCCGCAGAAGAAGCACCGGCUAACUCCGUGCCAGCAGCCGCGGUAAUACGGAGGGUGCAAGCGUUAAUCGGAAUUACUGGGCGUAAAGCGCACGCAGGCGGUCUGUCAAGUCGGAUGUGAAAUCCCCGGGCUCAACCUGGGAACUGCAUUCGAAACUGGCAGGCUAGAGUCUUGUAGAGGGGGGUAGAAUUCCAGGUGUAGCGGUGAAAUGCGUAGAGAUCUGGAGGAAUACCGGUGGCGAAGGCGGCCCCCUGGACAAAGACUGACGCUCAGGUGCGAAAGCGUGGGGAGCAAACAGGAUUAGAUACCCUGGUAGUCCACGCCGUAAACGAUGUCGAUUUGGAGGUUGUGCCCUUGAGGCGUGGCUUCCGGAGCUAACGCGUUAAAUCGACCGCCUGGGGAGUACGGCCGCAAGGUUAAAACUCAAAUGAAUUGACGGGGGCCCGCACAAGCGGUGGAGCAUGUGGUUUAAUUCGAUGCAACGCGAAGAACCUUACCUGGUCUUGACAUCCACAGAACUUAGCAGAGAUGCUUUGGUGCCUUCGGGAACUGUGAGACAGGUGCUGCAUGGCUGUCGUCAGCUCGUGUUGUGAAAUGUUGGGUUAAGUCCCGCAACGAGCGCAACCCUUAUCCUUUGUUGCCAGCGGUCCGGCCGGGAACUCAAAGGAGACUGCCAGUGAUAAACUGGAGGAAGGUGGGGAUGACGUCAAGUCAUCAUGGCCCUUACGACCAGGGCUACACACGUGCUACAAUGGCAUAUACAAAGAGAAGCGACCUCGCGAGAGCAAGCGGACCUCAUAAAGUAUGUCGUAGUCCGGAUUGGAGUCUGCAACUCGACUCCAUGAAGUCGGAAUCGCUAGUAAUCGUAGAUCAGAAUGCUACGGUGAAUACGUUCCCGGGCCUUGUACACACCGCCCGUCACACCAUGGGAGUGGGUUGCAAAAGAAGUAGGUAGCUUAACCUUCGGGAGGGCGCUUA
rnacentral:rRNA from 1 species